rnacentral:rRNA from 1 species
AGAGUUUGAUUCUGGCUCAGGACGAACGCUGGCGGCGUGCUUAACACAUGCAAGUCGAACGAUGAAGCCUAGCUUGCUAGGUGGAUUAGUGGCGAACGGGUGAGUAAUACGUGAGUGACCUACCUUUGACUCUGGGAUAAGCCUGGGAAACUGGGUCUAAUACCGGAUACGACCAAUCUCCGCAUGGGGUGUUGGUGGAAAGCGUUAUGGAGUGGUUUUAGAUGGGCUCACGGCCUAUCAGCUUGUUGGUGAGGUAAUGGCUUACCAAGGCGACGACGGGUAGCCGGCCUGAGAGGGUGACCGGCCACACUGGGACUGAGACACGGCCCAGACUCCUACGGGAGGCAGCAGUGGGGAAUAUUGCACAAUGGGCGCAAGCCUGAUGCAGCGACGCCGCGUGAGGGAUGACGGCCUUCGGGUUGUAAACCUCUGUUAGCAUCGAAGAAGCGAAAGUGACGGUAGGUGCAGAGAAAGCGCCGGCUAACUACGUGCCAGCAGCCGCGGUAAUACGUAGGGCGCGAGCGUUGUCCGGAAUUAUUGGGCGUAAAGAGCUUGUAGGCGGUUGGUCGCGUCUGCUGUGAAAGGCUGGGGCUUAACCCUGGUUUUGCAGUGGGUACGGGCUAACUAGAGUGCAGUAGGGGAGACUGGAAUUCCUGGUGUAGCGGUGGAAUGCGCAGAUAUCAGGAGGAACACCGAUGGCGAAGGCAGGUCUCUGGGCAGUAACUGACGCUGAGGAGCGAAAGCAUGGGGAGCGAACAGGAUUAGAUACCCUGGUAGUCCAUGCCGUAAACGUUGGGCACUAGGUGUGGGGGACAUUCCACGUUUUCCGCGCCGUAGCUAACGCAUUAAGUGCCCCGCCUGGGGAGUACGGCCGCAAGGCUAAAACUCAAAGGAAUUGACGGGGGCCCGCACAAGCGGCGGAGCAUGCGGAUUAAUUCGAUGCAACGCGAAGAACCUUACCAAGGCUUGACAUAUACUGGACUGCGUCAGAGAUGGCGUUUCCCUUCGGGGCUGGUAUACAGGUGGUGCAUGGUUGUCGUCAGCUCGUGUCGUGAGAUGUUGGGUUAAGUC